UCCAGGGUAGCCUAGUGGACAUGGCAUCUGCCCGGUAAGCGGAAGGUCAUGGGUUCGAUUCCCGCCCCUGGAC